GAUGAACGCUUGGCGGCGCGCUUAAGACAUGCAAGUCGAACGGUGAAGAGGAGCUUGCUCCUCGGAUCAGUGGCGACGGGUGAGUAACACGUGAGCAACCUGCCUUUCAGUGGGGGACAACAGUUGGAAACGACUGCUAAUACCGCAUAACGUCAUUUUGGGGCAUCCCUUAGUGACCAAAGAUUUAUUGCUGAAAGAUGGGCUCGCGUCUGAUUAGAUAAGUUGGUGAGGUAACGGCUCACCAAGUCGACGAUCAGUAGCCGGACUGAGAGGGUUGAACGGCCACAUUGGGACUGAGGCACGGCCCAGACUCCUACGGGAGGCAGCAGUGGGGGAUAUUGGACAAUGGGGGAAACCCUGAUCCAGCGAUGCCGCGUGAGGGAAGAAGGUUUUCGGAUUGUAAACCUCUGUGGACAGGGACGAUAAUGACGGUACCUGUUUAGAAAGCCACGGCUAACUACGUG
rnacentral:rRNA from 1 species